CAGUAACGGCGAGUGAAGCGGCAGCAGCUCAAAUUUGAAAUCUGGGGUCCCCGACCUCCGAGUUGUAAUUUGGAGAGGCAUCUUCGGGGGGGAGCGCCGGCCCAUGUUCCUUGGGACAGGACGUCACAGAGGGUGAGAAUCCCGUGCCUGGCCGGCUGCCUCCUCUCGGGUGGAGGGCCUUCGACGAGUCGAGUUGUUUGGGAAUGCAGCUCCAAGUGGGUGGUAAAUUUCAUCUAAAGCUAAAUACCGGCGGGAGACCGAUAGCGCACAAGUAGAGUGAUCGAAAGAUGAAAAGCACUUUGAAAAUAGAGUCAAAAAGUACGUGAAAUUGUUGAAAGGGAAGCGCUUGAGACCAGACUCGGGCCCGGGCAAACAUCGCGCCCCUCGGGGCCGUGCAAUUGUCCGGGCCUGGGCCAGCAUCAGUUGGCGUGGCGGGACAAAGGCGCGGGGAAUGUGGCUCCCCUCGGGGAGUGUUAUCAGGCCCGCGCUCAAUGCCGCCGACGUCGACUGAGGACCGCGCCUCGGCUAGGAUGCUGGCUUAAUGGCCUUCAGCGACCCGUCUUGAAACACGGACCAAGGAGUCUAACAUCUAUGCGAGUGUUUGGGCGACAAACCCUUGCGCGGAAUGAAAGUGAGCGGAGGUGGGAACCCCCCAGCGGGGCGCACCAUCGACCGAUCCUGAUGUCUUCGGAUGGAUUUGAGUAGGAGCAUAGCUGUUGGGACCCGAAAGAUGGUGAACUAUGCCUGAAUAGGGUGAAGCCAGAGGAAACUCUGGUGGAGGCUCGCAGCGGUUCUGACGUGCAAAUCGAUCGUCAAAUUUGGGUAUAGGGGCGAAAG
rnacentral:rRNA from 1 species